rnacentral:rRNA from 1 species
GUCCACGCUGUAAACGAUGGGUGCUAGGUGGUGGGGGUAUCCGACCCCCCGUGCCGAAGCUAACGCAUUAAGCACCCCGCCUGGGGAGUACGGCCGCAAGGUUGAAACUCAAAGGAAUUGACGGGGCCCGCACAAGCGGUGGAGCAUGUGGUUUAAUUCGACGCAACGCGAAGAACCUUACCUGGGCUUGACAUGUCGGUAGUACCGAACCGAAAGGGGAGGACUCGUAAAGCCGAGAGCCGACACAGGUGGUGCAUGGCUGUCGU